GUGCUCACUCUGGCAGCACAUAUACUAAAAUUUGAAUGAUACAGAGAAGAUUAGCGUGGCCCUUGCGCAAAGAUGACACACAAAUUCAUGAAGCAAUUUUCU